rnacentral:rRNA from 1 species
AGCUCCAAUAGCGUAUAUUAAAGUUGUUGCGGUUAAAAAGCUCGUAGUUGGAUCUCGGCGGGCAGGGGGUGGUUCGCUCUUCCGCGCUACUGCCCCGCUUUUCCCGUUUUAUUGGCGGAGGUUUCGGGGUGCUCUUCUUUUUGUGACUCGGAGCGCCGUCAGGUUUACUUUGAAAAAAUUAGAGUGCUCAAAGCAGGCUUUUCACGCUUGAAUAUUCGUGCAUGGAAUAAUGGAAUAGGAACUCGUUUCUAUUUUGUUGGUUUUCGGAAAUCGAGGUAAUGAUUAACAGGGACAAUUGGGGGCAUUAGUAUUCAGACGACAGAGGUGAAAUUCUUGGACCGUCUGAAGACGGACUACUGCGAAAGCAUUUGCCAAGAGUGUUUUCA